UAGUCCACGCCGUAAACGAUGGUUACUAGCUGUUCGGAUUUCGAUCUGAGUGGCUAAGCGAAAGUGAUAAGUAACCCACCUGGGGAGUACGUUCGCAAGAAUGAAACUCAAAGGAAUUGACGGGGGCCCGCACAAGCGGUGGAGCAUGUGGUUUAAUUCGAUGAUACGCGAGGAACCUUACCAGGGCUUGAAUGCAUAUCGCUAUACCAAGAGAUUGGUAGUUUCGUAAGAACGAUAUACAAGGUGCUGCAUGGCUGUCGUCAGCUCGCGCCGUGAGGUGUUUGGUUAAGUCCUGUAACGAGCGCAACCCCUAUGCUUAGUUGCCAGCACGUAAUGGUGGGAACUCUAAGCAGACUGCCUGCGAAAGCAGUGAGGAAGGUGGGGAUGAGGUCAAGUCAUCAUGGCCCUUAUGGGUAGGGCUACACACGUGCUACAAUGGGCAGUACAGAGGGUUGCGAAGCCGCGAGGUGGAGCUAAUCUCAGAAAACUGUUCGU
rnacentral:rRNA from 1 species